rnacentral:rRNA from 1 species
UACGAACCGUACAAACGUUAUUCGGAAUCACUGGGCUUAAAGGGUGCGUAGGCGGCCAUGUAAGUGAGGUGUGAAAUCCCUCGGCUCAACCGAGGAACUGCGCUUCAUACUGCAUGGCUUGAGGGAGACAGGGGUAAGCGGAACUGAUGGUGGAGCGGUGAAAUGCGUUGAUAUCAUCAGGAACACCGGUGGCAAAAGCGGCUUACUGGGUCUCUUCUGACGCUGAGGUACGAAAGCUAGGGUAGCGAACGGG